rnacentral:rRNA from 1 species
UACGUAGGGUGCGAGCGUUGUCCGGAAUUACUGGGCGUAAAGAGCGCGUAGGCGGCAUGACAAGUCACUUGUGAAAUCCUGGAGCUCAACUCCAGAACUGCCUUCGAUACUGGCGAUCUUGAGUCCGGAAGAGGUGAGUGGAACUCCUAGUGUAGAGGUGGAAUUCGUAGAUAUUAAGAAGAACACCAGUGGCGAAGGCGGCUCACUGGUCCGGUACUGACGCUGAGGUGCGAAAGCGUGGGGAGCAAACAGG